rnacentral:rRNA from 1 species
GACGAACGCUGGCGGCGUGCCUAAUACAUGCAAGUCGAGCGAAGUUUUUCUGGUGCUUGCACUAGAAAAACUUAGCGGCGAACGGGUGAGUAACACGUAAAGAACCUGCCUCAUAUACUGGGACAACUAUUGGAAACGAUAGCUAAUACCGGAUAACAGUAUUUCUCGCAUGAGAGAUAUUUAAAAGUUGGUUAUGCUAACACUAUGAGAUGGCUUUGCGGUUCAUUAGCUAGUUGGUGGGGUAAAGGCCCACCAAGGCGACGAUGCAUAGCCGACCUGAGAGGGUGAUCGGCCACACUGGGACUGAGACACGGCCCAGACUCCUACGGGAGGCAGCAGUAGGGAAUAUUCCGCAAUGGGCGAAAGCCUGACGGAGCAACGCCGCGUGAGUGAAGAAGGAUUUCGGUUCGUAAAGCUCUGUUGUUAGGGAAGAAUGGAUAUGUAGUAACUAUACAUGUAAGAGACGGUACCUAACCAGAAAGCCACGGCUAACUACGUG